UACGUAGGGUGCGAGCGUUGUCCGGAAUUAUUGGGCGUAAAGAGCUCGUAGGCGGUUUGUCACGUCUGCUGUGAAAACUGGAGGCUCAACCUCCAGCCUGCAGUGGGUACGGGCAGACUAGAGUGCGGUAGGGGAGAUUGGAAUUCCUGGUGUAGCGGUGGAAUGCGCAGAUAUCAGGAGGAACACCGAUGGCGAAGGCAGAUCUCUGGGCCGUAAACUGACGCUGAGGAGCGAAAGCAUGGGGAGCGAACAGG
rnacentral:rRNA from 1 species